UACGAAGGGGGCUAGCGUUGCUCGGAAUGACUGGGCGUAAAGGGCGCGUAGGCGGCGCAACAAGUCACUUGUGAAAUCUCCGGGCUUAACCCGGAGCGGUCAAGUGAUACUGUCGUGCUAGAGUGCGGAAGGGGCUACUGGAAUUCCCGGUGUAGUGGUGAAAUGCGUAGAUAUCGGGAGGAACACCAGUGGCGAAGGCGACUACCUGGCCUGUUCUUGACGCUGAGGCGCGAAAGCUAGGGGAGCAAACGGG
rnacentral:rRNA from 1 species